UCGCCAGACUCCUACGGGAGGCAGCAGUGGGGAAUAUUGCACAAUGGGGGGAACCCUGAUGCAGCGACGCCGCGUGAGUGAAGAAGUAUUUCGGUAUGUAAAGCUCUAUCAGCAGGGAAGAAAAUGACGGUACCUGACUAAGAAGCCCCGGCUAACUACGUGCCAGCAGCCGCGGUAAUACGUAGGGGGCAAGCGUUAUCCGGAUUUACUGGGUGUAAAGGGAGCGUAGACGGCACUGCAAGUCCGGAGUGAAAGCCCAAGGCUUAACCAUGGGACUGCUCUGGAAACUGUGGAGCUUGAGUGCGGGAGGGGCAGGCGGAAUUCCUAGUGUAGCGGUGAAAUGCGUAGAUAUUAGGAGGAACACCAGUGGCGAAGGCGGCUUACUGGACUGUAAAUGACGCUGAGGCUCGAAAGCGUGGGGAGCAAACAGGAUUAGAUACCCUUGUA
rnacentral:rRNA from 1 species